rnacentral:rRNA from 1 species
UACGAAGGAUCCAAGCGUUGUCCGGAUUUACUGGGUUUAAAGGGAGCGUAGGCGGGCUAUUAAGUCAGUGGUGAAAGCUUGCAGCUUAACUGUAAAAUUGCCAUUGAAACUGAUAGUCUUGAAUAUGGUUGAGGUGGUUGGAAUAUAUCAUGUAGCGGUGAAAUGCUUAGAUAUGAUAUAGAACACCGAUUGCGAAGGCAGAUCACUAAACCAUUAUUGACGCUGAGGCUCGAAAGCGUGGGGAGCAAACAGG